GGCAGCGUGGCGCAGUGGUGGGUGAGGAAACUGGGCUUGUAGCCGAAAGGUCGCAGGUUCGAUUCCUGGGUGGGACGCUGCCG
rnacentral:tRNA from 1 species